GAAUGCCAGUGUAGGAGUGAUUUGUAGGCAAUGCAUGCUGCAGCAGAUUUUUUGUCAUCAAAUCUCCUGUCUUCUACCAGACUUUUAAUCAGGGCAUCGUGGUUUUCCUGUGGAAGGAUGAUGGAAGAACAAAUGGUAAAACUUAUAGCACAUACAUUGACCGUUUUAACUUCUUCAAGCUGAUGUCCCUUGUCAAGUUCCUGAAUAUGAGUGAGGUUUUAGACAGAAUUAAAUGCAAAUGUUUUUACAUCAAAUAGUUAAUGCUCCCAAGUAGUGUUUCUGCAAAGUUCUCUUCAAUGAAAUUUACCUCGAUUACUGUUGUCUGAUUCAUUUCAGGAGUGACCACUGCCUGAACAGCUAGUGCAGAAUUACAGCGGAGCAACUCGAUCUCUGACUCCAAGGUGGAAAUCUUGCUUUCGAAUCUAAACAUAUCCUUUUUUUAGUUUGUGAGGCUUUCUCAUAGGACAUGAGUACAACCCAGAAAGGAAAAAAAUGUGAAUGUGAAGUAUGCAUAUUGUAGUAUGUACCUCUCUAUCUGUUUGGAUUUAUCUUCAUCAGCUGAUGUAACAACCAGUGAUUGUUGUCGUAGAACCUGGUUUUCAGAUUCCAUAUUGGAUAAACUUGCUUCAAGCCUGCACCAUAUUGUGGAGGUAGUAUGUGGGCAGCAUUUGUAAUAUAAACGAUUUAGUUUUACAAAGAAUAAAUUUAUUAGUACCUUUCGAUCA